rnacentral:piRNA from 1 species
UCGGAAGUGCACAGGACAAUGAAUU